UUGUUACUAGCAAUGUACAGAGCAUUAUUUUUUCAGGCCUUCCAGUGAGCAGGUGCUAGUAAUCGAUGGCGGCAACGAAAUUGGUAAGAUCCCACUCUCUCACUUGGCCUCUCCCUCCCCUCCUCCUCUCUUUAUGUGUGUGAAGUCCGCAGAUUUGAACUACACGGUAAGUUUAAUAAUAUCUUUAAAAAAUGUGUGCUACUUUAAUUCAUGGAAAUAGAGAAGCUCUUAAAGUAGUAAAGUCCUUUAUGUGCAGCAGUUAAUUAAGCUUCAUUAUUGUUUUGUAGUUUUCUAAAAAGUACUUUCAUGAACUGGUUACACAUGUUUUUAUUUUGAUAGCAGGCUUGACAGAAAGUUUUAUUUUCUGUUGUUUAUCAGUGAAUGGUUGGUGAAGUAACGAUUGAAGGAGAUAUUAAAUUGUUGUUUGUGAUAUCAAGUGGCUUGCCUACAAUAAAGGACUAUGAGCAUGUCACUGAUUUGCAAAUGCUUUCACUGGUACCUGUUAUUAAUCAUCCGAUUUCUUACUUCUUCCAUUUAUGCAGGAAUGACGUGAAGAGAGUCCUCUCUGUUCUUAAUCAUCUGAUUUCUUACGCCUUUCAUGUAUCUCUAGAUAUAUAGAGAGAAGUUACAUGAAACACAAAAGAGGGGAGCUAAAGGUACACCUUUUCCCAUCGGUGAUAAUGAAUUCCCUUUAGUUGCUUUGGUAUGAAAUGAUAUUGAAGGCAGCUUAGAGAAAUUACCAUGUUCUCUAGUUAUCGUGCGGAAAUAUUAACCAUGGAUUUUGACUUGUAGAUUCUCAAAGUGGAGUAUGUUCUCCAAUGAGAUGUAGAAGGAAGACUUUGAUUUCAAGUUCUAGACGAACACAAGAAUCUUGGUGGAAGGUUGUGAGCCUCUGUAUGUAGUUGCCCACUACAAGGAGCCAAGGCAAAUGAUGUGCCUCUUUAAGACAAAUUCUAGAAAAUAAAGCGAGCAAUUUUUGCUCUUAGGAAAUGAACUAUAAUGUUUCCUCUACUUAAUUAGUUCCAUUAGUUUAUAGGAAUUUUGAUGGUCAUUAGUUCAUAACAGAUGAUGUAUUUAUAUGGGAAAAUUAAUGAAUGUGUGUUAUUAUUGUUUG
rnacentral:lncRNA from 1 species